rnacentral:rRNA from 1 species
GAGGGAAAGGCGAAAAGAACCCCGGCGAGGGGAGUGAAAAAGAACCUGAAACCGUGUACGUACAAGCAGUAGGAGCCCCAUCACUCAAGUGCCUCGCACUGAGUGAUGCAAGAACAUCACCGAAAAUAGCGCCGAAUUUGCUAACAAGGUUGGUCGAUUUUUUCAAGCCGUCGCGCAGUGUACCUAGAAGUACACGAGCAACGGAAGUUAAAAAAUCGGGCAAGAUUGAACGCAAAGGCAAGCGGGACAUUUGAGGAUGGGGUGACUGCGUACCUUUUGUAUAAUGGGUCAGCGACUUAUAUUCUGUAGC